CCUUUUUUGGGGAAACAAUAAAAUUCUCUUCGUGGGACCUCUCUUCUCCCUUCCCGCUGAUGCCAUGGCGACGAAGGGGAAACAAACCUCACCGGCAGGGACGAGGCUGGCUUGUUAGCACUAGUUCAGCUGACCGCGGCGAAGAUCAGAUCCUUCAUUAAAUUAACACAUCCUGCUUCUCCCGGCGGCGGGCGGCCGCGGCCGCGGCGAAGGAGGAGAAGGGGAUGACGGGUUGCGCCCAGAGGGAUGUAUUACGGGGAAAUCCUCGCCGCGCCAGUGUAGGGUCGUUGGAGGGAGAGGGUCGCUGGUGACUGGAACGGGGUGCAAUGGUGCAGGUCCAGAACUUUCAGAAAAUAAGGUGGCGGUGGCUUCACCACACCAUCUAGUUUGCUGGCCGGUCAGGGACACACCGGGAAAGCAGCUCGGCUGCUUACAGGAGAAGCAUACGAUGCCUGAUCACUCCUACACAAAUGGUAAGCUGGUGAGGAGUUCAUUGCUUAAACAAGCAUACCACUGGCCGGUACAAAGUGCUUUGCACCACGCAGGCUUUGCUCUGAUCCUGCUGAAAGCGGCUGUGUAGGUGUAGUAUGCGUGCUACGCCGGAUUAUGUUUCGUUUCAGUUAAGUACGACAGAGGAGUACUCCCACCUUAAAAGAAGAAGCUCCGAACAGUGUCUCAGUAGAAACAAGUGGAUCAGUGCCUUUGGUCAGUGGUUAGGCAUAUGGUUGUGCAGCCUAAUGACUCAAGUUCAAUUCAUAGAAUUGACAGGUGAUGCACAGGGUUUUUUCCUUGUUUAUUGAGAAUUAAGCUUGGUCCGUGGUGGAACCACCCAUCAAGAAAUAUCUUGAUACUCAUGUAAAAAAAAUUGAGGACCAUGUUUGUAUUGAUACUCAUACUAAAAUGAUUGUAUGCAUCUCUAGUUGGUGCAGAGGCCGCAAA